rnacentral:rRNA from 1 species
UACAGAGGGUGCGAGCGUUAAUCGGAAUUACUGGGCGUAAAGCGCACGUAGUCGGCUUUGCAAGUCGGGUGUGAAAUCCCCCGGGCUCAACCUGGGAACUGCAUCCGAGACUGCAUUGCUAGAGUAUGGGAGAGGGAAGCGGAAUUUCUGGUGUAGCAGUGAAAUGCGUAGAUAUCAGAAGGAACAUCAGUGGCGAAGGCGGCUUCCUGGACCAAUACUGACGAUCAGGUGCGAAAGCGUGGGGAGCAAACAGG